rnacentral:lncRNA from 10 species
GGCAAGGAACCGUCCCACUGGCAAGGAGCUGUCCACGCUGGCAAGGCCCUCAGAGGCCACUAGGAGCUGUUUGCUGGGCACCACUGAAACUGCGGGCUGGAAGCUCCUCUGGGUGUCCUGAGGGCCAGGCCAGUGAGUGCCGCAGGGGCAGAAGUCGUGGUAUCCUGAAGACUAGAGAUGAUUCAACAGCCGGUGACCCUCCCUCACUGGGACUCUCACCGGGCCCGACCUGUUUUCCGACGCCAAGGCACCGCUGCUGAAGCCAGACAACCCCAAGCACCCUCCCUAAGGCUCAGGGACCAUCGCGGAAGAGGAGGGCAGGUGAGACGGUCAGAGCUGGAUUAGUGGGGCGGCGCGGGCGGAUCAUGGAGGCCGAAGCCGCUCCAUCUUGGACGCUAGUUUGUCGUGUUGGCUUCUGAUUAACCUCAGUUCCGGGAAUGCCUCUGAGAGUUCCCGUUCAUCUGUUGUUCCUUGUGUAAGAGCACAUCCUUAUCACAAGUCCUGGCCUUAGGGAAAUUCCUGCCCACCCCCUCUGAGGCAUGUCCCCUGCACUAUGGCAAUAGAAGCCCUGGGCCUGGGUGGUGACGGCGCAGGGAGCCGCCAUCUUGACUCACCGUAGCCUGAGACUGACAUGGCUUCUGUUUCUAAGUCCCUAUUAAAUGUUUCUUUUUAAGAACUGAAUUUGUGGGCCAGGCGCGGUGGCUCACGCCUGUAAUCUCAGCACUUUGGGAGACCGAGGUGGGCAUUUCACGAGGUCAGGAGAUCGAGACCAUCCUGGCUAACCCGGUGAAACCCCGUCUCUACUAAAAAUACAAAAAAUUAGCC